rnacentral:lncRNA from 1 species
GAUCUGAAGGGUGGUUAGUGCUCGACUUUUUUCAGAGCCAGCCUUUGAAUUAUUUACAACUGGUUCUCUACCUUAUGUUUCAGGGAAAAUCUAUUAGAAUGAUGGGAGUACCCAAAGAUGAGGUUGAUGAAGUCCUACGAAAUGCGAAGGCAGACCUGAGGAUAGCUGGGUUUGAUGAAGAAGAAAAGAGAUUGAAGCAGAGAAUUUACGGGAGAUCAAAUAACUCAACGAAACUUCCUCAAGGAAUUAUAUCUUUUGUGUAUUUUCGGACUACUUAGCCUUCCUGGAGUAGUAGUAAGUUUCGUAAUACUCAAUAUUUAUGUCUGCUAUUCUAGUUUUAACCUUUUCUAAUUAUGUCAUUGAGAGCCUUGUUUNUUGGUUGUAGUAAGACAAGUCUGAGCAUUUGCUUCUUUUUAUGCGAUUCAUGUGGCCAGAUUAUGGAGAACCAGCAGGAUUUGCAUAGCUUCUCAGUUGUUUGGAGGGGACGAAAGCUCGUUGUUGAAAUGAAUCUAGGUGCCACUCUCAAGGAGUUAGGCGAUAAGUUGCAAGGACUCACGCAUGUUGAGGCUGAUACUUUAAGGCUGCUCGUUCCCGUGGAGAAAAAUUCAAAGCUGCUGUAUCCUUUUUCUGAUGAGCAUUCUCACAUGAGCUUGGAGUCGGCAUCAAUUGUUAAGGUGCAAAGACCGCUCUUUUGUUUGUUCGGUUUCACAGUGUUACCUUGGAUUGGAAUGAUAUUCUCGUAAAAUGCAUCUUACCUUUCAAAGUGUUGAAGGGAUCCAUUAGAGCAAAUGUCUGACUUAUAUAUAUAUAUGAGAAGAUCUGAAGGGUGGUCAGUGCUCGACAUUUUUCAGACCCAACCUUUGAAUUAUUUACAACUGGUUCUCUACCUUAUGUUUCAGGGAAAAUCUAUUAGAAUGAUGGGAGUACCCAAAGAUGAGGUUGAUGAAGUCCUACAAAAUGCGAAGGCAGACCUGAGGAUAGCUGGGUUUGAUGAAGAAGAAAAGAGAUUGAAGCAGAGAAUUUACGGGAGAUCAUAUAACUCAACGAAACUUCCUCAAGGAAAUUAUAUCUUUUGUGAUUUUCGGACACUUAGCCUUCCUGGAGUAGUA